GGGGCCAUAGCUCAGCUGGGAGAGCACCUGCUUUGCAAGCAGGGGGUCGACGGUUCGAUCCCGUCUGGCUCCACCA
rnacentral:tRNA from 8 species